UACGGAGGGUGCAAGCGUUGUUCGGAAUUAUUGGGCGUAAAGCGCGUGUAGGCGGCAUGGCAAGUCGGGUGUGAAAGCCCUCAGCUCAACUGAGGAAGUGCGCCCGAAACUGCAGAGCUUGAGUUCCGGAGAGGAUGGCGGAAUUCCCCAAGUAGAGGUGAAAUUCGUAGAUAUGGGGAGGAACACCGGUGGCGAAGGCGGCCAUCUGGACGGAAACUGACGCUGAGACGCGAAAGCGUGGGUAGCAAACAGG
rnacentral:rRNA from 1 species